UACGUAGGGUGCAAGCGUUGUCCGGAAUUAUUGGGCGUAAAGAGCUCGUAGGCGGUUUGUCGCGUCUGCUGUGAAAGUUCGGGGCUCAACCCCGGAACUGCAGUGGGUACGGGCAGACUAGAGUGCGGUAGAGGAGACUGGAAUUCCUGGUGUAGCGGUGGAAUGCGCAGAUAUCAGGAGGAACACCAGUGGCGAAGGCGGGUCUCUGGGCCGCAACUGACGCUGAGGCGCGAAUGCGUGGGGAGCAAACAGG
rnacentral:rRNA from 1 species